rnacentral:rRNA from 1 species
AGUGAACGCUGGCGGUAGGCCUAACACAUGCAAGUCGAACGGCCGCACAGUAAGAGCUUGCUCUUACGGGUGGCGAGUGGCGGACGGGUGAGGAAUACAUCGGAAUCUUCUUUUUCGUGGGGGAUAACGUAGGGACACUUACGCUAAUACCGCAUACGACCUACGGGUGAAAGCAGGGGUUCUUCGGACCUUGCGUGAUUGAAUUAGCUGAUGUCGGAUUAGCUAGUUGGCGGGGUAAAGGCCCACCAAGGCGACGAUCCGUAGCUGGUCUGAGAGGAUGAUCAGCCACACUGGAACUGAGACACGGUCCAGACUCCUACGGGAGGCAGCAGUGGGGAAUAUUGCGCAAUGGGCGCAAGCCUGAUCCAGCCAUACCGCGUGAGUGAAGAAGGCCUUCGGGUUGUAAAGCCCUUUUGUUGGGAAAGAAAAUCAGCAUGUUAAUACCCCGCUGUUCUGACGGUACCCAAAGAAUAAGCACCGGCUAACUUCGUG